rnacentral:rRNA from 1 species
CCUACGGGAGGCAGCAGUGGGGAAUCUUGCGCAAUGGGCGAAAGCCUGACGCAGCCAUGCCGCGUGAAUGAUGAAGGUCUUAGGAUUGUAAAAUUCUUUCACCGGGGACGAUAAUGACGGUACCCGGAGAAGAAGCCCCGGCUAACUUCGUGCCAGCAGCCGCGGUAAUACGAAGGGGGCUAGCGUUGCUCGGAAUUACUGGGCGUAAAGGGAGCGUAGGCGGAUAGUUUAGUCAGAGGUGAAAGCCCAGGGCUCAACCUUGGAAUUGCCUUUGAUACUGGCUAUCUUGAGUAUGGGAGAGGUAUGCGGAACUCCGAGUGUAGAGGUGAAAUUCGUAGAUAUUCGGAAGAACACCAGUGGCGAAGGCGGCAUACUGGCCCAUUACUGACGCUGAGGCUCGAAAGCGUGGGGAGCAAACAGGAUUAGAUACCCUGGUAGUCCACGCUGUAAACGAUGAGUGCUAGUUGUCGGCAUGCAUGCAUGUCGGUGACGCAGCUAACGCAUUAAGCACUCCGCCUGGGGAGUACGGUCGCAAGAUUAAAACUCAAAUGAAAUUGACGG